rnacentral:lncRNA from 10 species
AGAAGAUCGAGACCAUCCUGGCUAACACAGUGAAACCCCUUCUCUAUUAAAAAUACAAAAAAUUAGCCAGGCGUGGUGGCGGGCACCUGUAGUCCCAGCUACUCGGGAGGCUGAGGCAGGAAAAUGGUGUGAACCUGGGAGGCGGAGCUUGCAGUGAGCCGAGAUUGUGCCACUGCACUCCAGCCUGUGCGACAGAGCGAGACUCCGUCUCAAAAAAAAGAAAAGAAAAAACAUGCUGCCUUCCCUUUAUCUUCUCUCCAAGUUUUACGUAAUUUUUCUUAACAUCUCGAAUCCUCCAAUGAAAAAGCUGGUUCUUUAGCAAUUUUGUGUCCAUUUUAAUUAGUAAAGGAGAAAAUUCUACAAUGUUUCUUUUCAACAGUUUGAUUGAGGUAUAAGUUAUAUGUUACAAAAUUCACCCAUUUUAAGUGUACAUGUAGAUGAGUUUUGGCACACAGAUGUGUAACCACCACCAAAAUAAAAAUCUAGAACAUCAUUUCAAAAAGUUCCUUCGUCCCCCUUUGUACUCAGUUCCCUUUCUCCAGUUCUGCUCUCAGGCAACCAUGAAUCUGUUUUGUCAAAACAAUUUACCUUUCUUAGGGUUUCAUAUGAAUGGAAUCAUGAGUAGUUUUUUGUUCCUGGCUUCUUUCACUUAGUAUGAGGUUUUUGAGAUUCAUCCAUAUUAUUGCAUGUGUCAGUAGUUUAUUCCUUUUUAUUGCAGAGUAGUAUUCCAUUGUAUGGCUAUACCAUACUUUGUUUAUCCAUUCCCAAUUUCAUGGGCAUAUGGGUGCUUUCCUCUUGUUGGCUGUUGUGAAUAAUGCUGCUGUGAACAUUUGCAUACAAGUCUGUGUGGACAUGUGUUUUCAUUUUUCUUGAGUAGAUACUUAGGAGUGAAAUUACUAGAUCAUAUGGUAAGUGUAUGUUUCACUUUAUAAGAAACUGCCAAAUUGUUUUGCAAAGUGGCCGUUUUGCAUCUCUACAAGCAGUGGAGCAGUCCCACCACUGUGCAUUCCCACCAGUAGUGUAUGAGAGUUCCAGUUGCUGCACAUUCACAUCAAUACUUGGUAUUAUUGGUCUUUUUAAUUUUAGCCAUUCUAGUGGGUAGAUAGUGUUAAGCAACUUUUCAUGUUUUUACUGACCAUUUAUAUAUCUUUUUUAUGAAGUGUUUGUUUAAAUCUUUGGCCCAUUUUUAUUGGAUCAUUUGCCUUAUUAUUGAAUUGUAAGAUUUCUUUGUAUAUACUUUAGAUCUAAGUCUUUUUUGUCAGCCAUAUGUUUCUCAAU